rfam:Triticum aestivum genome assembly, contig: Triticum_aestivum_CS42_TGACv1_scaffold_361590_4DS
AAUAUACUCCCUCCAUGCGAAAAUACUUGUCGGAAAAUGGAUAAAAUGGAUGUAUGUAGAACGAAAAUACAUAUAGAUAUAUCCAUUUAUCUGACAAGUAUUUCCAGACGGAGGGAGUACUAU